CGAAAGCCUGACGGAGCAAGACCGCGUGAGGGAGGAAGGCUCUUGGGUUGUAAACCUCUUUUCUCAAGGAAGAAUAAAUGACGGUACUUGAGGAAUCAGCAUCGGCUAACUCCGUGCCAGCAGCCGCGGUAAUACGGAGGAUGCAAGCGUUAUCCGGAAUAAUUGGGCGUAAAGCGUCCGCAGGUGGCCGCUCAAGUCUGCCGUUAAAGACUACAGCUUAACUGAAGAAAAGCGGUGGAAACUGAGCUAGCUAGAGUGCGGUAGGGGCAGAGGGAAUUCCCGGUGUAGCGGUGAAAUGCGUAGAGAUCGGGAAGAACACCAGUGGCGAAAGCGCUCUGCUGGACCGCAACUGACACUCAGGGACGAAAGC
rnacentral:rRNA from 1 species